AGCUGAGGAGGGAACUCGAUCGCCGUGGUGGAGUUUGUCCGAAUAAUAUGCUGCAGGUCUUGACAUCUGCCAUCGGAAGUUGGAAAGGAAGUCCUACCAUAGCCCAUUCAGGUCAGAUGUUUGCCGUUCCAAAUGACAAAGCCGAGUAGAAAUUGAUUGCUGUCAAACUUCACUAGUCAGUUGAAAUUAUUGGUUUUGCAAGCCAUUUCUCUAAUCUAAACUCUCACUUUAUCUUGACAAGGCAUAGCCACAUCAGCUUGACAAGACAUCACGACCUCAUAUUUCCUGACUAAGAUGUUUGCUACUGGAAGAUUCUAGAAAGAUUUUUUUUUCAGAUUCAACUCACAUACUCGGAUGCACUUGAGUACUCCCCAUGUUCUUCGAAGUAUUCAAUUAGGCGCUUCAAGAAGUUGUCAUGACUAACGGUAUCGGUGUCGCAUACAAGACAACACUGUCUUCUGGCGCGUGUCACUGCAACGUUCAUUCGCCUAUGGUCGCUCAAAAAUCCAACCUGAAAACAUGGAAAGUGAUAUCAUGUAACAGAAUGCUCUUUUCUACUGGCAAGUACUAUUGAACAACCUGGAAGAUAACAGCUGUCCAGCUGAGUAAAGGGGUUAGCUUCUCUA